GUGCCAGCAGCCGCGGUAAUACGGAGGAUCCGAGCGUUAUCCGGAUUUAUUGGGUUUAAAGGGAGCGUAGGCGGAUGUUUAAGUCAGUUGUGAACGUUCACGGCGUUAUCUUGAAAUUGCAGUUGAUACUGGACGUCUUGAGUGCAUUAAAUGUGGGCGGAAUUCGUGGUGUAGCGGUGAAAUGCUUAGAUAUCACGAAGAACUCCAAUAGCGAAGGCAGCUCACAGGACUGUAACUGACACUGAUGCUCGAAAGUG
rnacentral:rRNA from 1 species